UAUGAGUUGGUGAACCCAGCAGGGAAAAAGAUUGGAGUUUUCCAUCUUAAAGAUAUUCAGGUGAAGAAUAAAUAACAUCAUUUUUUUCAGAUAAUGUACCUUCGAGCAGGUCUUGUUUCAUUAUCUGUGGUUGUAGUGUCCAACUAUUCGAAAAUCAAAAGAAAAAGGAAAAGGUCGAACAAGUUAGGUACACUUUCUAGAAAGAUACUUUUCAUACCGCCCUCGCUAGCAUAGCUCGAAGAAAUUGGUGGAAUGCAGGAGAUCCAGAAGAUCAUCCGAUUGCAUAGUUAUGUUAAAGCUUAAAGCUCAGCUUGGGAAUGCAAUAGGUACAGGCGAAUAGACUUUAUUCAUGUGAAAUCAUUCCCCUGCAUAGUUUCACUUACGGCACACGUAUAUAUAGAUUUUCGUGAUAGCAAUCGCAGAGUGAAUGGUGAAGACACGUGGAGUUACAUAACUUCCAAUUUUUCGCUAUUAUCCAAUCAUCCACUGUUUAUUUGGAUUAAUAAAUCCGAAGAGUGGCGUUAGCUGAACUACCCGAGGGAAAAGUGCAAAUAAAGUGAAAUUCUUGAAAGAAGCAAAGGGAUAGGAGUACUGGAAAAUCUUAAUACAGCCAAGCCGGCCAACCAAUCUACGGUAUCAACUACUAAAACAACAAAGCUGACCGUUUGGGAGUUAGUGCAGUGCACAUCCACGGCGGAAAAGUGAAGGCUGAACCGUUGACGUUGGGCUAGCUCAAUACCGGAAAUCAUUUACGGCUCGUGAAAGACCAACCACCAUACACCACUGCUGGAUGUCCGAACUUCAGUUUGAACCUGCCGAUCUCAAAAAGCCGGAGGACAUAAUCGUCACCAACCUACGAAAAUUUACAAAGGAUUGAGUAAUUAGGCUAGCCUAAACCACAUUGCCUCAGAACCACUCUUGCUGUCAGCAGAUUUUUGUUUUAUUUUGAUUCCCGUGUUUCUCAAGUUAAAUUUCAAGUGCAAGUUCCCGUUUGCCUUUAUCAUUAUCACAUAAAAAUCUAUACGCUGCUGCUCUAAUAACCAGCUGUUUAGAUCCACAUAUUCAUAUCUCGUUUAUCAUUGUGUUGAUUAAUGUAGUAACUAAAUAGCUUCCUCCAAUGAGUAAAUUUGUAAAGUAACUGAAGAUUUUGAAAACUGAGCAAAAUGAGUUUGGGAUAAUGUGUUUCUCUUUAUAUAUAUAUAUACAUUUAUACUGACCAACCUCUAAAUUACACAGCGUAUACAAAUGAAUCCGUCAAAGUCAUCUUGGGCCCAACGAUACACCGAUGAGUUUAACCAAUUACUGUGAGUACCACUAGUGGCUGAAACCACAAUGCCUAUACACCAAUGCAGGCGUAAGUUUGUUAAAGUAGAUAUAUAUAUACUGAUUUGAAAGAAUAAUUCCCCCCUCAAAUGCUCAAAUAAUUAAGUUUUUUUUGCUGAUCCAAGAAGAAGGAAGUUUGUAUAUUUUUGUUUAUUUGUAAAUGUAAGGAAUCGGAUUAUAUCUGUAAUUUAUGUAAAAAAUAUCAAUACAAUCUCUUAUGGUUAGGGACAUUUAACAUAAAAAAAUAAAAUGAAUUGGUAAUCAUGAAUAUGUCUGCCUAAACUAAAUAUUAUCUCCGUCCGUCAAGUACUUAUGCUUAUCUCCCUCAAAAUGCACUAGAAGAUGUUGAAUCUUUGAAAUGGGACAACGCCCGAAUGUAAACGCGUUUGUCAUGGUUGGGUGGGUAAAGACUAGGGACAUACAUCACCGCUGUUCCCUCCAUCAGACAGAAGACGAACUACACUUUUUCUAAGCGUUUUCUAAAUGCGUAUCGGCGCAGAGUGGAAAUUAGUUUUUUUUUUUUUGUUUAUUGAUAUUAACGUCGAGAUCCUGUUUAUUUUUUUUGAAGCGCAUUAUAUUGAUUUGUGUCAGGAAAACUGUGUAGCUAGGGGAGAAAGAACCCCGACCAAUCCGACGAGCUGGACCCGAGCACAGCAAGAAUGCGCGCCUUCGAACCUAGCUUCCUAUUAACAUGAGGUCAG